GGACCCGUAGCAAGCCAAACUUACAUACUAUUCCCUGGUCAAAUCCCAUACAUGAUUAAAACUUAACCAUAAAAACAUGAAAACUGAACAUCUGCUGAACCCAAACCUGACCUGUGCAUGUAACCUGACAUGAAACAUACAUCAUAAAAUCAUAAAACCUCCACUGGAGUCCUCAUCAAAUACUCCAAUGGGGUAACAUUACAUGCCUCAAGUUUGG
rnacentral:lncRNA from 1 species